AUCACCUACGGGAGGCAGCAGUGAGGAAUAUUGGUCAAUGGACGCAAGUCUGAACCAGCCAUGCCGCGUGCAGAAAGAAGGAGCUAUGCAUUGUAAACUUCUUUUAUACGGGGGUAAUUACAGAUACGUGUAUCUGGAUGAAAGUACCGUAUGAAUAAGGAUCGGCUAACUCCGUGCCAGCAGCGGCGGUAAUACGGAGGAUCCGGGCGUUAUCCGGAUUUAUUGGGUUUAAAGGGUGCGUAGGCGGU
rnacentral:rRNA from 1 species